CCUGCGAGGAGCAGAAACUGUUUUUUGAGUCCAUAUACCCACCGUGUAGCGCAUGUAUAGUGGGGGCUCACCCCGGGUGCACAGGGUAUGAACCCUUAAGUGCUGGCCAGCACCCUGAUAGAGAGUAUCAGUCACCUCUUCCAUUAUUAAAUUCACCUCAAGGGGAAUAUAUAUCGUUAAGUAGGCGGCUCGGAACUCCUGUUCGGCGGUUGUAACCGCAUGCCUCUGUUCGGC